AACAAAGUCAGAAUUGGAUGACUGCAUAUGUGGAAGAAAGAGAGAGUCCAAGGAAACAAUUUCCUAUAGUGAGAAGAUGGCCUUGUGCAAACCACAAAGAAGCCUCUCACCAGACACCAUUGUCUGACAUCACCUUGAUCUUGGACUUAUAGCUUCCAGAACUGAAGUAGAUGUGGACACUCAAUCACUUAUUUGGAUAACUGAAAAAAACAUGCUGUUUGAUCUCUAUAUACUUCUUUGCAUUCAGUGCCUCUAUGGGAAGAGAGAAAUUAAGGAGCCUCCUAUGGCAUCAUCUGGUCUAAUAACAUC